rnacentral:misc_RNA from 1 species
ACUCUUCAACCCACCAGUUUCUAGUAGACUGCGUUGGUGUUUGGAUUUUGAGCGUUGCUAGUCUGACUAGCUCGUUCGUAAUAUAUUAGCAUCUCUAAUUCGAAUUCGGAUUGACUCAGUGUAAUAGACUAUUCGCUGAGGACACUUUUAUUAGUGGCCGUACUAGAACCAGUAGAAGCUUCCAACUAUUGUAGUCAACUUUAA